rnacentral:rRNA from 1 species
CAGUAGCCACGGUAACACGAGGGGGGCAAGUGUUGUUCGGAAUUAUUGGGCGUAAAGGGUGCGUAGGCGGUUUGGCAAGUCUUAUGUGAAAUCUUCGGGCUCAACCCGAAGUCUGCAUGAGAAACUGCCGGGCUUGAGUAUGGGAGAGGUGAGUGGAAUUUCCGGUGUAGCGGUGAAAUGCGUAGAUAUUGGGAAGAACACCAGUGGCGAAGGCGGCUCACUGGACCGACACUGACGCUGAGGCGCGAAAGCGUGGGGAGCAAACAGGAUUAGAUACCCCGUAGUCCCUGUCUCUUAUACA